rnacentral:rRNA from 1 species
GCCAGACUCCUACGGGAGGCAGCAGUGAGGAAUAUUGGUCAAUGGGCGGAAGCCUGAACCAGCCAAGUCGCGUGAGGGAAUAAGGCCCUACGGGUCGUAAACCUCUUUUGCCGGGGAGCAAGGGCCGGGACGAGUCCCGGUCCGGAGAGUACCCGGAGAAAAAGCAUCGGCUAACUCCGUGCCAGCAGCCGCGGUAAUACGGAGGAUGCGAGCGUUAUCCGGAUUUACUGGGUGUAAAGGGAGCGUAGACGGCUGGUCAAGUCUGAAGUGAAAGCCCGGGGCUUAACCCCGGAACAGCUUUGGAAACUGAGCAGCUAGAGUGCUGGAGAGGUAAGCGGAAUUCCUAGUGUAGCGGUGAAAUGCGUAGAUAUUAGGAGGGACACCAGUGGCGAAGGCGGCUUACUGGACAGUAACUGACGUUGAGGCUCGAAAGCGUGGGGAGCAAACAGGAUUAGAUACCCGUGUA